GACGAACGCUGGCGGCGUGCUUAACACAUGCAAGUCGAACGGUGAAGCGCCUUCCUUUUUGGUGGGUGUGGAUGAGUGGCGAACGGGUGAGUAACACGUGAGUAACCUGCCCCCUUCUUCUGGAUAACCGCAUGAAAGUGUGGCUAAUACGGGAUAUUCUGGGUCUGUCGCAUGAUGGGUCUGGGAAAGAUAUUGUUUCGGUGGGGGAUGGGCUCGCGGCCUAUCAGCUUGUUGGUGGGGUGAUGGCCUACCAAGGCGGUGACGGGUAGCCGGCCUGAGAGGGUGGACGGUCACACUGGGACUGGGCCACGGCCCAGACUCCUACGGGAGGCAGCAGUGGGGAAUAUUGCACAAUGGGCGCAAGCCUGAUGCAGCGACGCCGCGUGAGGGAUGGAGGCCUUCGGGUUGUGAACCUCUUUCGCCAGUGAAGCAGGCCUGCCUCGUUUGUGGGUGGGUUGACGGUAGCUGGAGAAGAAGCGCCGGCUAACUACGUG
rnacentral:rRNA from 1 species